rnacentral:rRNA from 1 species
CGUAGGGUGCAAGCGUUAAUCGGAAUUACUGGGCGUAAAGCGUGCGCAGGCGGCCAUGCAAGACAGAUGUGAAAUCCCCGGGCUCAACCUGGGAACUGCAUUUGUGACUGCAUGGCUCGAGUACGGCAGAGGGGGAUGGAAUUCCGCGUGUAGCAGUGAAUGCGUAGAUAUGCGGAGGAACACCGAUGGCGAAGGCAAUCCCUGGGCCUGUACUGACGCUCAUGCACGAAAGCGUGGGAGCAAACAGGAUU